UCUACGUGACUCCAAACUUUUGAACGGUAGUGUUAAUGUGUUUUCUUAGGAAAGUCUAACGCGUAACCAGGAUCAGGUCACAUUGAAUCACCAUAACAUGAUAUAGAAACAUAAAAUCACAAACACCUGAGGAGAUAUUCAGUAGACAGCUUAACAGGGACUAAAGGUCAGGGGCUAGAGGUCAGGGGCUAGAGAUCAAGGGGUUAGAGGUCAGGGGCUAGAGGUCAGAGAUCAGGGACUAGAGGUCAGAGGCUAGAGUUCUGGGGCCAGAGGUCGGGGGCCAGAGAUCAGGGGCCAGAGGUCAGGGGUUUAAAGUGCUGAAUUCCUCUCCCUGUACUCCAGACCGAUACCAUAAUUCUAAACAAUUAUAAAUCACUAGUCAUCAAAAUAAAAUCACAAACGCCUGAGGAGAUAUUCAGUAGACAGCUUAACAGGGACUAAAGGUCAGGGGCUAGAGGUCAGGGGCUAGAGGCUAGAGGCAAGAGUUCAGAGGCGAGAGGUCAAGGCCUAGAGAUCAAGGACAAGAGGUCAAGGGCCUAGAAAUCAAGGACUAGAGGUCAAGGGGUUAGAGGUCAGGGCCUAGAGGUCAGGUACUAGAGGUCAGAGGCUAGAGUUCAGGGACUAGAGGUCAGAGGCUAGAGUUCAGGGGCCAGAGGUCGGGGGCCAGAGAUCAGGGGCCAGAGGUCAGGGGUUUAAAGUGCUGAAUUCCUCUCCCUGUACUCCAGACCGAUACCAUAAUUCUAAACAAUUAUAAAUCACUAGUCAUCAAAAUAAAAUCACAAAUGCCUGAGGAGAUAUUCAGUAGACAGCUUAACAGGGACUAAAGGUCAGGGGCUAGAGGUCAAGGGCUAGAGGUCAGGGGCUAGAGGUCAAGGGCUAGAGGUCAAGGACUAGAGGUCAGGGGCUAGAGAUCAAGGACUAGAGGUCAAGGGGUUAGAGGUCAGGGGCUAGAGGUCAGGGCCUAGAGAUCAAGGACUAGAGGUCAGGGCCUAGAGAUCAAGGACUAGAGGUCAAGGGGUUAGAGGUCGGAGGCUAGAGAUCAGGGACUAGAGGUCAGAGGCUAGAGAUCAGGGGCUAGAGGUCAGGGCCUAGAGAUCAAGGACUAGAGGUCAAGGGGUUAGAGGUCAGGGGUUAGAGGUCAGGGACUAGAAGUCAGAGGCUAGAGGUCAGGGGAUGGAGAUCAGGGGAUGGAGAUCAAGGACUAGAGGUCAAGGGGUUAGAGGUCGGAGGCUAGAGAUCAGGGACUAGAGGUCAGAGGCUAGAGGUCAGGGGAUAGAGAUCAGGGGAUAGAGAUCAAGGACUAGAGGUCAAGGGGUUGGAGGUCAGGGACUAGAGGUCAGGGACUAGAGGUCAGGGACUAGAGGUCAGGGGCAAGAGGUCAGGGGAAAGAGGUCAGGGGAAAGAGGUCAGGGGAAAGAGGUCAGGGGAAAGAGGUCAGGGGAAAGAGGUCAGGGGAAAGAGGUCAGGGGAAAGAGGUCAGGGGAAAGAGGUCAGGGGAAAGAGGUCAGGGGAAAGAGGUCAGGGGAAAGAGGUCAGGGGAAAGAGGUCAGGGGAAAGAGGUCAGGGGAAAGAGGUCAGGGGAAAGAGGUCAGGGGAUAAAGAUCGGGGGUUAGAGGUCCGGGACCAGAGGUCCGGGACCAGAGGUCAGGGGCUAAGAGGUCAGGGGCCAGAGGUCAGGGGUUUAAAGUGCUGAAUUCCUCUCCCUGUACUCCAGACCGAUACCAUAAUUCUAUACAAUUAUAAAUCACUAGUCAUCCAAAUAAAAUCACAAACGCCUGAGGAGAUAUUCAGUAGACAGCUUUACAGGGACUAAAGGUCAGGAGCUAGAGGUCAGGGGCUAGAGGUCAGGGCCUAGAGAUCAAGGACUAGAGGUCAAGGGGUUAAAGGUCAAGUGCUAGAGGUCAAGGGCUAGAGUUCAGGGGCUAGAGGUCAGGGCCUAGAGAUCAAGAGGUUAGAGGUCAGGGACUAGAGGUCAGGGGAUAAAGUUCAGAGGCUAGAGGUCAGGGGCCAGAGGUCGGGGGCCAGAGGUCGGGGGCUAAGAGGUCAGGGGCUAAGAGGUCAGGGGCUAAGAGGUCAGGGGCCAGGGAUUUAAAGUGCUGAAUUCCUCUCCCUGUACGCCAGACUGAUACCAUCAUUCUAAACAAUUAUAAAUCACUAGUCAUCAAUUAUUUAACAUGUAUCAAUACAACUAUCAGUUCCACCACCUUUAUGUCUGUCAACAACUGUGUGACUAUCAUUUACAACAACACCCACAGAUAAAUAUCCAUCUAUGUUUACAACACCCACACAUCAAUAUAUAUCUAUGUUUACAACAACACCCACACAUCAAUAUAUAUCUAUGUUUACAACACCCACACAUCAAUAUAUAUAUAUGUUUACAACAACACCCACACAUAAAU